CACAGCCUGGGUGUCGGCCUGUUGUGCACUCGAUACAAAGGAUACGUCCAUCAGAGCUAUCAUGCUCCUGCAGCUCUCCAGGCUGAAGCCCUCCGUGCUCAGGCUCUUGUCUGGAGGAGGCGGAGGGACACGGCUCGCCGUCAUGCUUCCGACUUUCCGACUUUCCGCAACCAACACCUUACCUGAACCCGACUCACGUUUGGUGAUCACUCUGUUGAGAACGUUCCGGAGUUCGUUGGCUGCGAUUUCCAUGUCCUGUAAAAGUCACAAGGAGUUAUUGCGUCAGUCAUGAAAACUGCCCCCUCUUUCGCCCCCUCCUGCACUCACGUCGCCGGCUAUCUCCUGAAAAAUCGUCCUGAACUGCUGGUCGUCCUCGCUCUCCUCGCCUGCUGAGGCCGGCGCUGGCUGAGAGGUCACGGGGUCACGCAGUUGAAGCAACAACAUGUGGACAUCAAGUUGGUGAGAAGGUGUGCACUCCAUAUAUUCGCAACAUCUGCACUUUUACUUUCACUUUCUGACCCUUUUUGCAUGAAUUGGAUGGAGUCUACAGGUCUACAGGAGUUAAAGAACCGGACUCACCACAGGAUGGUCGGCCUCAAUCCUGUUCUCUAUCUCCCUGAGAGAAGACGAAUAAACAGCGGUCACCACGAGAAGACCCGCAGGAUGAACUCGCCCUCCUGGUGCGGCUCGUAAGUGGAGGGAACGAUGACGUACUCGCCGGGACUCAGCCGGAAGCGCUGCGUGACCUCGCGGAGGUUGAUGUAGGACUUGCAGCGGGCUUUGGACGAGCUGAAGAGGAAGAAGUCUUUGGGCAUGUGCUGCUUGUUGCCGUGCAUCUGAAAGAGGAUGGACAACCUCAUGGGACCACUGAUGGGACGUUCAAGAACCACAAGCCAGAAGUGUCCGGGGGGGACGUCCUUACCUCCUUUGGCACCUGGGGACAAACAGAGGAGACGGGUUAGGAUCUGACAGAAGUACAGAAGUGGACUGAGGCCAAAAUAAACGAAGACAUUAGUUAAAUUAAAUCCUGGAUUUGGUUCUGGAUUUGUACAAUUGGACCCGUGAAAGACUAUGGACUUUGGUGAUUGUUAACAACCCUGACUUAACCCCCCGGUCCGGCCUUCUCACAAAGGCCAACAAUUGAUGACUGAUGACCCAGAGUCCCGGAAACCCUGGGGCGACCUCAUUUACAUGCCAGUGGGACCCAUUUGAUGGGUGGCUACCCAGAGUUCCAGACCCCAGGUGAUGGUAAAUCCAUCAUUUUAUUCACUUUCAUCCCUCCAGCUCCAUGGUCAAUGGAGGACUGGAAGAAACCCCGACCAGAACCGAGAUUGUAGUGUCCAAUCAACAGUUCCAGACGUUCUGUUACAUCACCGAUUGGCUCGGUGUUGCCAACUCAGCGAUUUUGUAACUAGACCUGGCAACCCCGUUUGACGACAUAUUUUCUCAGAAGCAACUAGCAACGAAUCUAGUGACUUUGGGGAGUUUUCUGGUAUUUAGGGACUCAUAAGUGAGACACAUAUUGUUCACCAUUUUGUAUUUCACUGACCAACACCACCGUCCCGCCCAAAGACGGUCACAAGGCGGCAGUGUAGAGUCAGUUUCCGCAGCACACUGUCUGGAUAAAAGUGUUUGUAUUUAUUAUCUUAUCUUAUUAUUUUUUAAUUCUUGGGAUAAAUAUAUUUGAUAAACCAGAAGAGUGUGCUACUCACAAACCACACCGGAAAAAAAACAAUAUUCACUGUUCAGUUGUGUAAAUAAAAAAAACAGUUGUCAAUAGCCUCAAUUUAAUGAAGGUGCUUUUGUCUCCUACAAUGUAGGAGAUGGCGGAAGAUGGCGCCAUCUAGGGACUUCUACAACAGCCAAUAGCUAUUUUUCUAACUGGACAGUUACAACAUCAUAUGCAAAUCGGAAGAUGGCGUCAUCUAGCGACUUCUACAACAACCAAUAGUUAUUUUUAUUACUGGACAUUUACAACAUCAUAUGCAAAUCGGAAAAUGGCGCCAGCUAGCGACUUCUACAACAGCCAAUAGCUAUUUUUCUUACUGGACAUUUACAACAUCAUAUGCAAAUCAGAAGAUGGCGUCAUCAAGCGACUUCUACAACAACCAAUAGUUAUUUUUAUUACUGGACAUUUACAACGUCAUAUGCAAAUCGGAAAAUGGCGUCAGCUAGCGACUUCUACAACAGCCAAUAGCUAUUUUUCUUACUGGACAUUUACAACAUCAUAUGCAAAUCGGAAAAUGGCGUCGUCCAGCGACGUCUACAACAACCAAUAGCUAUUUUUAUUACUGGACAUUUACAACAUCGUAUGCAAACCAGAAGAUGGCGUCAUCUAGCGACUUCUACAACAACCAACAACUAUUUUUCUUACUGUUUCAGUGGACUGGCUGCCGAGUCCAGCCGACAUGCCGGGCUAAGGUUUACAUACCAUGACCGAGAUCGACUGGAAAAAAGGUUCUCCUGUCAAAAGCAGUGCCUUGCCCAGACCCUAGCUCCAGUGGCCCCCAGCCUUACCAGGGUAGUUCCUGCAACCUCCAGCGGAGCAGCCUCUCACCCAGCGGCCUUCAUUCACCGACACGGUCCAUUUGUGGAUCUUGUCGUCCUCCAGGGCGUCAGGCGUCAGGUUGCAGAUCUCAAUCUUGGUGUAGUUCUUUUUGAAGUCCUCGAAGGACAUCCUGUAGGGACGCAGAGAAGUUCAGUUGGAAUCUUGUGAUGCCGUCUUGCCAUGCAGCUAUCACGACCCUGUCUAACGGAUGAACCGGGGAUCCGAUCAAAUACUCUCCAGCUGCGACACGAGUCAAGUUACACCGGAAUUGUAUUUUGUGAUGUCACCAUUACCAGAACUCUCCGUCCUCAGCACUCUGGUGUUGGAGCUUCUCCUUCUCAGCCUUGGACAGUGCAGCCCAUUCCUUGGAACUGAAGGAAAACCGGGGAAACCGUAAGAAUACCAGAAAGUCCAGAGUCCGGGUCUCUAAGGCUGCAUUUACACUACCAGUCUAAACACCCAGAGCCUUCGCCACAUGGAACAAAUUACAAACCCCCCCCCCCUCCCCAUGUACUGUAGAUCAGUGAUUUUCAACCACUGUGCCGCGGCACAAUAGUGUGCCUUGAGAAAUUGUCAGGUGUGCCGUGAGGAAUUAUCACUUAUAACUUUUUAUAAUUAACAUUUAUUAAUCAUCAUUUGCAAAUAUUAUGUCAAUAUCCACGUAUACGUGGACCCAAAUAUUCCAAUUGCAUUUGGUUUACCUUUGUAUACGCCUCAUUCCGAAAGAAUAGUGCCAAUCCCAAUGAAUAUAUAAUGGGAUUAACAGGGGUGGAAUAUUCCUUUCCCCAAUCCGAUCGAGGUAUCUUGUAGCCGCUCAAACGGAAAGUUGUCAGGGUGCGUUCUUCUUCUUCUGUUGUUUAUUGGCGGUUGGCAAGCAGCUUUGAUGUGCAUUAGCGCCAUCUGUGGAACAGAAUUUAAACCCUUCUAUACGCCAUUCAUAAGUCCAUAAGUCAAAAGAAAAUAUAUAUCUAUAUAAAACAUGUACCCAGUUGAAUUAUAAAAUAUUAGCAAGAUUGAAUUUGAUCCUUUCCUGGUUAAAUUUAUCAUAUCGCAUGCUCAGAUAUGACGUAACACGCAGAUCCAGACGUUCUUCACUUUUAAAAAUGGAGGCCAGCAAUCGGCACUGGACUGCUACGGAAAGUUUGUUUUUGAUCCAAACUAAAUUCCAAGACUGGACAAACGAAAAACUGGCAAUACGGAAUUAUUCCAACAAGUGAAAGAACAACUCGGGGAAGUCGGUAUCACGUGAUGUUGAUGUUUACGUUUUACUGGGCAUGCCCCAUUGACUAUUCUGGUUGAUUAUAGCGACGCAUGUAGACAAGAGAUUGGAAUAUUCCUUUCCAUGUAUACCAUUGUUUCCGGAAAAGUCAUUCGGAAAGAGAAAAACUCCUCAUGUAAACAUGGCUACUGUGGAGUGUCUGUGGUGUAAAGACUGGCAUAGCAAUGUAAUAUUGGUCCGUGUGGCAACACCUAGCUCAUUCCUCCUAUAGACUUAGUGAUGUUUUCCAAUGUAAAAAAAACGUGCCGUGGCUCAAAAAAGGUUGAAAAACACUGGUGUAGAUGCAGCCAAAAUCCAUGAAAUGUUCAAGUAAGGAUGCUGACUUGUCGCUCCAGGGUCCGUUCCACUCCACUUGGCCCCAAGGGUUCCUGAGACGCACCAGACGCACUUUGGACUCUCGGUGCUGCGAGGGCCGACACUGCCGCACAAAGUUUGAUUGUCACCUGUUUGUGUGUGUCUUCACCCCGGUUUGAGUCAUUUACCUCUUCUACUGCCGUCACCGAGUAGGCGUGACCCUUCACCAGGCCUGUGGCGGUUCGAGUCUCAAAGCGAGCCGGGACGAGGGACUGCGGAAGACCAUAGAAUUGCCCGUCUGGUUGUGACCCUAGCAUGCUAACAAAAUGUGUUCAGGUUGGACACUCACAUCAAUGGAGCAGCCCAUGAGGGAUCCUCUCUCCAGGGCCUUCUUCAUGAUCUUGUAGAGCUCCUUGGGGGCCUCCUUCAGCUCGUAGAACUCAGUGACGCCUCCGGUGAAGUCCUCCAUGGCUUCCGUGGUGUUUCCACCCUUCAGGGCCUCGUAAGAGCCAUGAAGCCUGGACAGGAUGGUGCAGUCCAACUACUCCAAAGGUUAGUUCCACGUACUUCAUGUUAGGAAAAGGAGGAUUCUGGUUUGCUGACUCACUUGGCAUAGGCCUUCUCCAGCAAGGCGCUCCAGAACUCGUUCCUCUCCGCCGACUUGGUGAAAACCAGCUGGUUGUUGAAGGUCGGGAUGCGGUCGUCGAUGACCACAUCCACCCAGUCGCCGUAGCGCCAGAACUGGCAGAAGAACAUGAUGAAUUGAAUUGAAAGAAGCCGAUAGAUCAGCCCUACCCACCUGGAAGUGGAAGAUCCCAGCAUAUUCCUGUGAGAAGCUCUGCUCCGGAGGAACCACUCUGUAGAGGAGCUUCUCGUUGAGGGUGAGGCAGGCGAUGGCGGCCAGCAACCAGCAAUCACCUGCACGCAACAACUAACGUGAGAUGACCUCGGGUGGCCGGGUCGGAGGCGGUCCCUUCAGGGGAACUUUUCGGUUGGUUGUUUGUCCGCACAACAUUCCAAAGUCUCCCAACGCACUUUUUGUGCCUUUGCUGCUCUUCAUUGACGUGCUCAACAAUGAGAAGUGCUGCUGGAUGGAUUCCCUUCCAAAAGAGGAAGCACAAUGCGGAGAGGCCACAGUCGGCCGAGAGGCCGCAUGCGGGAGGGGAGUCGGGAAUGCCGUUACGUUUCCCCAAAAUAUGCCUAAAUAUCCUGACCGGAUAUUACAUCACGCCUUCACACACUCAUCGUACACAAUGUGCCACCAAAACAACAACAUGAUAGCAUGUGACGGAAAAGGCAACACGGACUACAAACAUGGUGGACAGUCAUUGCUUUAAAAACAUACUUUUUGCCACUAUACAUUCUAUCAUACAGGCCGCACGGUGGUUGAGUGGUUAGCAUGUAGUCACAGUCAGGAGAUGGGUUGGAAUCUCUGUCGGCCAUCUCUGUGUGGAGUUUGCAUGUUCUCGGCUUGCGUGUGCGGCUUUUCUCCGAGUACUCCCCCCCCCCGUGCCAAAAACAUGCUAGCAUGUUAGCUUCAUUGUCCACUCCAAAUUGUCCAUAGGUAUGAAUGUGAGUGUGAAUGGUUGUUUGUCUAUAUGUGCCCUGUGAUUGGCUGGCCACCAGUCCGGGGUGGACCCCGCCUCUCGCCCCAAGUCAGCUGGGAUAGGCUCCAGCAUAAGCGGCAUAGAAGAUGAAUGAAUGGAUGAAUGAAUGGAUGAAUGGAUGGACACUAUGAUAUAGUAAUUGCCAGUAAAAGACACAUCAUACUAUCCCAAAAAUGGCUCCAUUAUUUUGAUCACAAAAAAAUAUUCAAAAACAAAAAAAAAGUUCAAAAACAAAUAGUCGUACUCACCAAGAUCUCCCUGGCAGAUGUCGGUGCGACUGGCCCCCCCAACGAUGAACUGAGGGUUCUCGCUUAUUUCCUGGCCAAACGCAAACAAGUGGUGGCGAAUGAUUGAUGUGUAAUCAAUAGGAAGCAUGCGAUCACACUACACACUACAGCUUCAUUAAUGUCGUUACAUAACUACAGCCCACGUGACGCUAAUUAUCGGACCGCUUCGCUCUCUUAGAAAUCAUAACAUCUCAUUCACGAUUGCUUUGGUUUUAUUUCAUUGAACGAUUUGACCUUUAGCUUUAGCUUUAGCUUCGUAGUAUAUGAGUAACAUGAACACGACGUUUAUAUCAGUUUACUGCAUGAUUAACAUGCUUAUAAGGGUUUAUUAUAUCAUUAGUACAUUGUUUGUAGGAGUUAAUUAUGUUUAUUAUGACUAUUAACAGUUUAUACAAGUUGAUUAUACCACAAACGUUUGGAAGAGUUUAUUUGGAUGGGUUUAUUAUGUUUUAUUUACAUGUUUUUAACGGUUUAUUAUAUGCUUAUUAACUCAUACAAUACCAAAUAUAAUCCCGAAUGCCCAAUCCCAAUAACGUAUUCAUACGUGUUUUAGAACUGAUGAUGUAACUCUCCACUAAUUACCACUAAUGACUUUGAAGUCAUAAAAAGGGCCACAAGGGGGCAGAGGUGCAUUCGAUGAUCUCGGCAAACUUGGAUGGGGAAAAAAAGUCACAUGACAGGAAGGAGGAAGAAAAAGAGUGGAGGAGUGUAGCGUGCAGAAGGUUAGGCAUUUUGGGGAAUUUUUUUAAUGCAUGCAGUUCACUUCCAAAUGGGAAAACUGUAAACAGUUCAUGGUGUUAUUUUUAUAAAUGAAUUAUAAUUAUGAUUAAAAACACAUUUAUGUUGGUAGAGGCGUUUAGAUAUUUCCGCUGUCACAAAAGCAAAUAGUAUUUGUGUAUCUUUUGACAAAAAACUUUUUUAGUUGGGAACUGAUAUUUUCCUGAAACUUAUCUAUGUUCUAUUGUUGAUUAUUGAAGAGCAGAAAAAGAUAGAAACAAACAUUUUCUUUCUGUUGAAAGAUAGGCGUCUUAUCCUCCUUUUGGUGGGUUCCAUGUGUGUAUAGCCACGGGACACAAUAAUGUGUGUAGCUUGAAAGAUCAGACAAAGUUGCCGGCACUGAAGAGGUUGACUUUAGAAAAAUGUCGUUUAUGACAGGAUUAACCACUCUAAUCGUGAGUUAUUGUAAGGGUUUAUGGUAUGAUCAAUAAGAUAUUUCUAAAGGGUAUCCUCGUUGUAAAGCGGUACCCUCGCUUGACAGCGUCAUGUUUCCCUCAAGUGUCUCUGUGGACUUUGAUCUCCAUGCCAGAGCAGACCUACAACAGUCCCUGGUUAGGAUGGAGACAGACGGUCCUCCCGCCCAGGUCCAACAAUAACGUCCCGCCUCCCCCCACGGCACGUGCGGUCGAUCCCUGCAUCCUCCCUCCAUCCUCCUCCUACCUUGGGUCUCUUCCAGACGAUGUUUUUGACCUUGUUGGACUUGUGCCCGAGCUCCUUGAAGCCCAGCGACUCCACGCUGGCCGGGAAGGACUCGUCCUCAAAGAGGCUCUUCCUGUGGAGACAUUCCUGCUGGAGGACACUGAAGUCCUGGUUGUUGAAGCGCAGCGGCUUGUUCAAAGUGCCUUCCCCGUCCCUCCUCUCUCGCUCCCGGAUCAGCCGGUCACAGAAGAAGCCAGACGGUGUGUAGGGCAUCUCGUCCCGCUGUCACUCUCUCUGUCGUCAAAGUGAUUUUUUUAAAUGGCCUUUGCCACUUGGACUAAAGUUGACAAGCUAAAGAGCGCUGGCAUAAAUCCAAAGAGCAAACCCGUGAUUGGCUCCCUCGCGCAGUGAUGUGCCCUCCCCUCCGAACACUCGGAAAGAAGAGAUUCAGCCAACACGCAUUCACCUUUGCCCACACGUGCAUUGAACGCCACAUGUCACACACACACACACACACACGGCCAUUGGACCAAAGGGGGACAAUAGAUCUUCAUCAUUGUUGGGUGACACAAAGGCCAGCGGGCCACGCCGGAGGCCAUGUAAAGAGUGUCCGUUGGAUGCCCUGCCUCAGCAGAAGGCAUUCAACCGCUUCUCAAUGGAGCUCAGCGUCGAGCAGUCUCAGCAAGAACCGCCGCAGUGACGCCCCCGCGAGGAGCGGUGGCCAUUUUGGCCUUAACGUAUCCUCUAAUUGUCUACUAUACCGUACUUGCAGUUAGGGAACACUACAGCUCUAUUUACCCAGCAUCCAACUAUGACCUGCCUUCUGUGUACUUGUACGCGUGGACCAACCGACUGCGAUAAGUGAAUUUCCCCAAAGUAGGAUUCCUUAUAUUAAAUCAAAUAUUUUUGUUGUUUCAACAUAGAAAUGCUGUUUGCAACCUUUUUUAACAUUAGAUCCCCCAUAGACGUAAAAUAACACCUUUACACUCGUAUUACCCAACAUAGUACCUGCUAUAAAAGCCUGUUCGCUCAACAAACAUUACAGUAACAUUACUGACACCUAGUGACCACUAUAGGAUAUUACAUCACAUAAUAAAUGCCUUAUAUUGUAUUUGUAUUCUACUGCAUUCAGACAUUUUUAUGCUUGAAAAUGUUUCAUUUCGGCAAAAAGGAUGUAACAUUAGCUUAAUUAUGCAUAUGCUUUGACCAACAAUAGACCACAAAGCAUGAUUUAUUAAUAUAAAUCAGGGCUCGACAAUAACGGUGUACCGAUGGCCCGGGGCAAGUUAAAACAAAAUUGGGGCAAGUAAAUCCAUUCAGCGAUAUUCCCGUCGGGCAAGUGCACUUUGGCAUGCCAUACUGCCAAGAG